UACGUAGGGUGCGAGCGUUGUCCGGAAUUAUUGGGCGUAAAGGGCUCGUAGGCGGUUUGUCGCGUCGGGAGUGAAAUCAUCUGGCUUAACUGGGUGCUUGCUUUCGAUACGGGCAGACUAGAGGUAUGCAGGGGAGAACGGAAUUCCUGGUGUAGCGGUGAAAUGCGCAGAUAUCAGGAGGAACACCGGUGGCGAAGGCGGUUCUCUGGGCAUGAUCUGACGCUGAGGAGCGAAAGUGUGGGGAGCGAUCCGG
rnacentral:rRNA from 1 species